ensembl:lncRNA
GAUUUUGACAUAGGGAGGCAAUGAGAACGACCCUUUCCUUCUGGUGGAGGUUGCUGAGCAGGGGUGAUAUGAGCUUCUCAGUCUGUUCAGGCUGCUAUAACAAAAUGCCUUAGACUGGGAGGCUUAAAAACAACAGACAGUUAUUUCUCCCAGUUCUACAGACUGGGAAGUUCAAGAUAAGGUGGCAGCAGAUUUGGUGUCUGGUGACCACCUGCUUUCUGGCUCAUAGCUUGCUACAGUUUGAAUGUCCCCUCCAAAACUCAUGUUGAAACUUAAUCCCUAAUGUGGCAGUGUUGAGAGGCAGGGCUUUUAAGAGAGGCAAUUCUGUUUGCUGCAAAGAAUCAAGAGGCAAACCUGUAAGACUCAGGUGAAAAGACAAGGAAAAUUGGAACUUCUUUUUCUGUUCUGGGAUCUUGUUUUGAAUGUUGCUUAAAACGACCGAGUCUUAUUCAGACACUGGCAACCAUUUUGCGCAGAAGAGAUUUCUGCCAAGACAAGAUGCAAAUUGUAGAUUGGACCCAUUGGUUUUGGAGUCUGGGGAUAUGCAGAGGCUAUGCAGAGGGGUGCUGCUCAGCUCAGCACCCCUGGUUUUCUGGAUGGAGUCGGGGCACCAGCUGGCAGGCAGCCCAGCACAGCUCAUUUUUUGAAAAACCAAAAUGAAACAGCACCACCACCAACAACAUAGCAUCAUCUUGAACAGAAAAAUAUAGCAAGGAGCUGGGAGACAGAUUAAGCAAUUCAGGAGCUAGGAUGACGUGUGGGAAUUUUAGACUGUUUCAUCCCAUUAGCAAAGAUAAAAUGCAUACAUUUCACAUAAAGUCAUGUGUUGUUAACACAAAUUUAUAAUUCUAUUGAAGGUCAAUAAAAUGCUUAAUACAAUAUUCAUGUGAUUAGGAAUUCCCAUGUUGCAGAGGCUAGAAGGACACUUCUACUCUCAGGCUGAGGGUCUGGGCUUCCCGGCUCAUUCCAAGCCUGAGGCAGAGCCACCUGGACUGGUGGCAGUGGUCAGAGGAAGGACACAAAAGCUUUGGAACAUGCAUCCCUUGGAGGUUGCUGGUGCUGACUCUGGACAUUUCAUUCCCCAGUGACCUUGUUGUUUCUUCUCCUCAUUUGUGAAGUGUCCUGUUUGCUUUAUAGGCUUGUUUAGACACUCAGAUGAAAUAAUGGAUGAUAUUAUGAAAAUUGUAAGUGACAAUAGAAAUGUAAGAUGCACAUAGGAAUGAGAGAAAUAGAUCCUCAGAAGGAGGAGGAAAACCACCAAGCCUAAAACACUAAGAAGCUAAAGUUCGGGUCUGGAUGAGAAAAAAAAGGCUUAAGAGGACUAAGAUUGCAAAGCCAGGAUGAUGCUGUGUUUUUGCUGACCUCUUUGGAAUAUGGUUGGCUACUAGAAUCCUGGCAGGGCCCUGUAAGAGUCGCUGGCCAGACAGACUCUCGAGCCGGCCUGCCUGGUUUCACACUCUGCCUCACCACUGUGACCAUGUGACCUUGGGUGGGAGACUUUGCUUCUCUUUGCCUCAAUUUUCUUAUCUGUGAAAUGGGGAUAACCACAUUCAUCUCAGAGGAUAGUUGUAAGAAUUAAGAGAAUCCAUUCAUGUGAAGUACUUGAAUAGUGUCUGGAAAAUGAUAAGUUCUCAAUAAAUCAGCAAUCAUUAUUUC